CUCAUUGACAAUUACAUUAAAUACUAGUAACUAAAUUCUUCCAAAAAUUUUAAGAACGAUGCCUAAAAAUUUUGGGUAAUACUCCUCCCUCUCGUUUUAUAGCAUGCAAAGACUAAAACAAUGUCUUAUAUGCUUACUCUGUAAAAGCAAGAGAGAGCUGAAAUAGUUUUCAUUGGACCACGCUUCAUUAUCAAUAUCUUUGGAUCUACUCUUCAACAUUUUUGGCCUUCAGCAUGAC
rnacentral:lncRNA from 1 species